rnacentral:rRNA from 1 species
GUAGGUGGCAAGCGUUGUCCGGAAUUAUUGGGCGUAAAGCGCGCGCAGGCGGUCCUUUAAGUCUGAUGUGAAAGCCCACGGCUCAACCGUGGAGGGUCAUUGGAAACUGGGGGACUUGAGUACAGAAGAGGAAAGCGGAAUUCCACGUGUAGCGGUGAAAUGCGUAGAGAUGUGGAGGAACACCAGUGGCGAAGGCGGCUUUCUGGUCUGUAACUGACGCUGAGGCGCGAAAGCGUGGGAGCAAACAGGGAUUAGAUACCCUGGUAGUCCACGCCGUAAACGAUGAGUGCUAAGUGUUAGGGGGUUUCCCGCCCCUUAGUGCUGCAGCUAACGCAUUAAGCACCCCCGCCUGGGGAGUACGGCCCGCAAGGCUG